UUGUUAUCUCCGUUCUUGUGCAGUUGUCUGCUUCACUACCCGCACAAAGGAGGUUUGAAAGACAUGCAGAUGGUCUGUUUACCAGUGAAUUUAGCAAGAUUAAGAACGAUGUGGCUAUGAGAAGUUUACUCAAGUCACUUCUCAUUUCUAAACGCAGUGUUGAGGAGCCACAUUUCCUAAAUAUCAUCGAGGAGGAGGAACCAGGUUUUGAGAAAGUGUGCUUUGCCUGGCUGUACCAAAGCUUCUUAAAUGACAG